AGUGUACGGGGUCGGUGGUUUUGUUUCUUUGUUUCUUAGCGCGAAGAUGCAGAAACCAAGUGGAAUCGUGGGUGGAAAUAGGCCACACUCGUGAUAAGGGCAAGAAGAUCGCAUGCACCGCAACGUCACAGCAGUGGUUCGAACGAGCAAAGUAUCUCGUUCAAUAAGAUUGAGAGCGGAAGAGAGAAAGGGAGCGUCGGAGAAUGACGUUUUAUGUUAGCGGGAAAACUUGUGUUUCUUUUUAGGUUUUUAGGAAAAUAGGAAGAGAUGUUAUUCUUGACAAAGGAAACAAAUUUAAAAUCGAAGCAACCCUCCAAUGAUCACAUCUGCCGAUGCGGAAGCGACCCUUGUCGCAUAGCAACGUCCGUCUUGUCUUAUUGUCGCGCGAAAUGAUGCAUCGCUGCUGAUGGCAUUGGUUUGCAAUCGAAUGCAUCAUAAAUCAUGACUCGCGCCAGAUAGCCGCAAGCGCGCAUCACGUCAUCCCGAUUUCGAUCAAAACGUCCUGCCCUCUAUUGGAUGACGCGAUGUUACGUGCACCUCACCGGACAGCACACAAAAUCGACAGUGGAUAGCGGAAGAACCCCAUCGCCCCCCUCCGCUGUUCGUUCGUCCUGUGACACCAAUAGCUAGCCGGAAGUGGCCACUUUCUUCACGCCAUAAUCUAGGUUAAUGGGGAAACUUUUACCCGGUUCGGUUUUGCAUGUUGCGAACGUGUUUUGCUUGGCACAGGGAUAAUUAACGGACUAAAUAUGCAUUCGCUGCCGCUCGUGCCCAUCGCAUGCAUAUUCAGACGGGUCGAUUGAUUACCUCGCCCGAGCAUUAGCUCUUCAGGGGAGAAAAAAUGGAUGGACGAGAGCGGGGGUGCCCUUUCGGUGCCGUUUAAUUUCAAGUGAACACGAAUCGUAAUCGAUACUUGUGUCAAUGUUGCAAAUCUAUCGCGGCAAGGGAUUAACUAGAACGAACCGGCCCAACCUACUACUACUGUGCAGUGUGCCGGUUGAGAAUCCACUUUUCCGCUGGUUCAGCAGGUUCGAUGGGCGGAUUGUGUUGGCUGCGAUUAAACCCGUCCCAUUAAACGCUUAGAGAAGUGACACAUAGUGAUAGUAGCAGUAACUACUUGCAUCACCUUAUCUUGAAUCGUUUGCUAUCAGCACUUGAAAGAAAGUGUGAUGGCGCAGUUUUGUAGAGAGUAAGGUGAUAUGGCGCUGUGCGAUUAGUUCCAGCUGUUCUGGAAAGGUUCAUGUUUGCUAUAUUAUGUAAACUAUCUCUUUACAUUUGAUGAGAGCUUUAACGAGCUUUAAGUCAAAUUGUGAGAAGUGCAGGUAAUUGAUGAUUAAUUAAGGUUUAGUUUUGUUUUUUUUUUACAGAUACAGAUACAGUACAUGCACUAAAUUGAUGGUUCACCCAACUUUUUGGCAGGUUUUUGCCAAUAUCUUAAACAAUUCUAAUACUUUCUUAAUAUGUCUAAAGCAUUCGAUUUUGUUUUUAUUUAAAAAUGGAAAUUUUUGAUACUAAAGUGAUCAUAUUUCAACCAAAAUGUAAAAAAAAACCCAAGAUUCGAAGUUAAAUAAUGGUUGGUAAACCUAUGCUAGGUUGAACGAACGUUUGAGGUUUUAUUUUAAUUAUUUUUCAUAAGCAACAAGGACAAUUGGCCUCCUCAGACUGGCCGUCAGUGGUCAGUGGACCCCAUCCUGUAGAUAAGAAGUGCAUUGGAAUAAUUAAUCUAAAAUCCUAUUAUAAUCUAUCAGUGGGGCCCUUCACGAUUCUAGUUAGUUUUUUUUAUGGAGUUUGACAGUUGGAGGCUGAAAUCAUGUAAACACUCCAUACAAAACCACACAAAAAAAAGGCCGGCAAUUUUCAGUCUAGAUUAUUCUAGCCUCAAAGCUAGAAUUAGAUUCGAGUAUUCGACAAAUGGCAAAACAAGGUGGUGUUUUCAUUUAUCCCAAGGUGUAUUAAAGAGAUCUGGUGAUGGAAUCUAGAAUCAAGUGUAGUCCAGGUGGUCUCAUAGCAUGUUUUUCAAACCAAAUUUGAAUAUCACUUUUUGACAGGAUGGGUGAAAACUUUUGUUCAAACAAGCUUUCUGGAGGCUUGACAAAUACACAAAACACUCUUAAAAUCUUCAUUCAGAAGCAGAAGCGAUAAAAAUCAGCCUUCUAAAUUCAUACACCUUGGGAUAAGCCCACCUGUAUAUUAUACCUACUCAGAUAGCUGCUCGAAAACUGCUACACAAUGCAAACAGCUGACAGGAUGAAAUUUCAGCCUACGAACCAAGGUGGAUUUAAAAAUAUCAGGUGGUGGACUCUAGUGCAUUUUGACAAUUCGUCACUUGACGUAAGGUCCCCAGGAUUCAAACUUUGUUUACAUUUAUUAAAUUUGCUCAUAUAAUUUAUCUACCCCAUUUUUUCGAUUAAAUAUUCUUUAGAAAAAAAAUUUGGACUUUGCGAGUUCUUAUUUAACAUUAAAACAUAGAUCAAAGUGAGUUAUUUUGUGUUAUUCCGUGAAUUUAUUCUAUAAAUCAUUGUGUUUUCGACAUUUUUGAUGAUAAAUACUAAGAAAUCGUUAUUUUUUUCCAAUUUUCACAUUAUUUCCUAAUUAUCUACGAGCCGCAUGGACAAUUUACGUGAGAUAAGAACUCUUACUCACAUGAUUUUAAAUUUCGUGCAUAAACAAAUUAUCAAAUCUUUUGUUAACAAAUCUCAUUUUUUCGAUAAAAUCAAUAGACACACAAAAAUCAACAUAAUAACAAAGAAAUCUGUUCUAUUUGCUAAGCAUUGUGUGCGGAAACCAAUGGUUAACAGUUUUAAAAUGACGUAAAGUCCCUCAACUAUGGUGACCCCCCAAAGGCCCUUAUCCACCUGAUAUUUUUAAUCCACCUUGCUACGAACUUAAAACGGAAAGGACCCCAGCAUCUGCUUCAUUGACAAACGCAAUGACAACGUAACAUUUAUUUAUAUUUUUUAAACUAAGCAGUUUCAACAAAUUCAAUUUUACCAAAGUUAAAAGUUUUCUUAACACACACUUUCUAAUGCUAUGUACCAUACAUUUAGUGAGCCACUGUAUUUAAAUUAUUAAAUUAAAUUAAGAAAAUUUAGAAGAUUCUAUAAAAGAUUCUUCACAAACACACAACAUUCCAAACGCAUCUUCACUGCCAGCUCAUCGGACGGUAAUUAAAGCUAAUUGUUGUUUUGCUUUUCACUUUCCGGAACACCCGUGACAUUAAGCACGAACUGGCUAAAUUAUCGUCCCCCCAACGCAAGCUGUCAAUCGUCUGCAUUUGACUAAUUGUCAUGGGACUAGGAACUGGGCACUAUCGAGCCCCCCCUUUGCCGGGCGAGACCUGUUCAAACCGCUUCACCCACCGGCGCAAAGCCGCAACCGGAUCGAACCGACUUCCUGCUGCUGCUGCUGCUGCUGUUGAUGGGCCGUCCACCUCUUUUAGUGCACAAUUCGAAUUGCGCAACUUAUUUACCGCAUGGGCAUAGGGGUGGCGGGACAUUUGCACUUGCACCGGUGGCAUAGCAAGCAAGUAUAGGGUGAGGAGAACGGGAUGGUAGGACCAGAUCAAACAAAACAGUUUCUUACAUAGUUUCACGAUCGUGAUAGUAAGAGGGGAUCUUACUGCCUCCGCUACCAUCCCGGUAAAGGGACGGUAAACAGUUCCCAGCGUUCUAAUGUUUAUUUAUACAAUUCCUUUACCUUUCCCGGUGUAUCGCACCAGCAACGUGUUCCCUUUGCGCUCCGGUACACUCCAGUGCGAACCGGUUUUUGCAUUGAUUUGAUGUAUGUGUAUGUGCUUCUCUCCAGUCGUCAACGAACGCCAACCAAGUGCCCACCCCUCCCUUGCUCGUUCCGCGAACGAUAAUUCGUGAUGAGUUUAUUAAGGGACUUUGGGUUUUUAAUAGCUACUAGCAGAAGUGCAUUCAAGCACACAAAUGCACACUUCAGCAACACUAUCAAGCACGUUAUCAGGUUGGAUUAAGUGUGGUAAAAAGUUGCUGACACACAGGUAGUUUGGCUCCGGCAAAGGCAUGGUGUAAGGACGUACUUGACUGCCGAUGGGCGAGAUAAAGAAACAAGGCAAAGGGAACGGUAAUCUUGAGCACAAACAGACGAACACAACGCUUCAUGAUCUGAUCAGCAAAUAAUACCCGCAAACAAGCAGGCAAGCAGCACGGGGGAGAAAAUUGCGCCCGUCACGAUCGACUUCCAUCGGGGUUGUUAUUGCUGUUGAAUACAACAUACAAUGGAUGCAUUUGUAAACGCAGCGCAUCAUCUUCUUUGCCGCGGUCAAUGGGCGGUCGUUUGCCCGCGGUGGUAUCCCAGUAGUGCAGUCCUCCCUCCCGGUGGCAGAAGCGCCACAGAACACCCCUCAUACGUGAAGGAAUUGCGCAGCAAAAUUUUCGGUUCAUUCGCUCGUUUCUCAGUUUGUUCCCGCGCUAGCGCCCUGGGAAUGGGGAAAGGGCACACCGCUACGUCACAUCGCACCACACACAUACAUACACGCAAAAAGGUCCUCAAAGAAAAACGCUCAUGUCAUCGCGAUUAUAUCGUGCUGUGCGUGCACCGGCAUGUGCCAAGUGGCGAUGCCUUCAUAAGUGGAAAUUGCUCGUCGCCUUCGCGCGAUAGUUAUUAUGUUGUUGAUUUUGAUGUCUUCACUUCACAUUAGAUAAUUUAUCGUGCUUCGCGUAUUCCAAUAAGAAGUGGAAAAAUGAUUUUUAAAGGUUGCGAAUUUCAAAGCAACACCGUUGGUGUAAAUAAGCGUCACUCGGGCGAUGAAACUAUUGCUAGCGCAAUUGUAUUUGUAUAUUUACCGUCCCGUUCCUCGACCUCUGCGUCCGCCUGCUUCAAUGGUAAAUCAUUCUGUUUACACAACGACGAGCGAUCGACCGAUCUCGUGCCUGCGGGUCAGGAUGGCAACGUGCUUGACUUGGCAUGCUGGACGAUAGUGUGUCAACAGGAUCGGAAUCAGCCACGACGUCUUGCUGACCAAUUUGCUAAUAAAAACUAAAUCAAGUGUGAGUCUCUUUUGCUACUUGGUUUCUACCUUUUUGUA